AACUACAGCUUUUCUGAAAAGCAAGGCACCUGUGCGGUGGCCGAUGGUGGCUGUGGGAGCCUCGCUGUGGACCCCGUGCCUGCCUUAGCCGCGUUGGUCUCCCUCAUCCUGUUCCCGCUGGCCCCAGCUCCACCCUCAGCGGAUAAGGAAGCCUCCCUGCCCACCCAGGGCCCUGAUCUCCGCUUUGUAGGACUCCAAGGGCCUGUGCUCAGCUGCUGCUGCUCUGCCCCCUGGUGGGCCCCUCUGUGUCCCUGCGAGGAGGCAGCUGGCAGGCAGCCCUGUGAGCUGGGUUGGGUCCCGCAAGUCUCAGUUGUGUCAUUUCCGACGUUUCUUGACUUUCUCUUUCAGGCUGAGCCCCGUCAGCCACGGAAACACGAUCGCACUCUUCUUUAGGUCACUGUUGCCAAACUAUACCGUGGAGGGGGAGAGGCCCGAGGAAGGAGUGGCUGGGGGUCUGAACCGCAACCAGGGCCUGAACAGGCUGAUGCUGGCUGUGCGCGACAUGAUGGCCAACUUCCACCUCAACGACCUAGAGGCACCGCACGAGGACGACGUGGACGGGGAAGGGGAGUGGGACUGAGCGUCUGCAGAGGUGCCUGAAAGCUGUAAUGAUGUUGCUGAUUUCUGUGCUGGUCGGAAUCCGUCAGUUCCCUGAAGUAGAGAUGCUGACUGUAUCGCUGACCUGGUCCGCUGUUUCUCCUAUAAAUGUGCCUUGAGUCCCCCCAAAUGGGGAUGUGACGUUUGGAGCUGCAGCAGGCCCCCUACGGUUGGGAGUCAAAGAAGAGCUGGUGUUCCAGGGACGGUGCCGCAGAGGCUGAGCCCAGGCCUGCUGUCCUGAGAGACGGCUGGAUCACUGAUGCCUCGGCAGUGGGGCUGGGGUUUCUGUCACGACCUGCAGCUGAGCCUAGUUCCGGUGACCGUGAGAUCUG